ACGAACGCUGGCGGCGUGCUUAACACAUGCAAGUCGAACGUGAUUUUUAUGGAAAUUCUUUCGGGAAUGGAAAUGAAAUGAAAGUGGCGAACGGGUGAGUAACACGUGAGCAACCUACCUUACACAGGGGGAUAGCCGUUGGAAACGACGAUUAAUACCGCAUGAGACCACAGAAUCGCAUGAUAUAGGGGUCAAAGAUUUAUCGGUGUAAGAAGGGCUCGCGUCUGAUUAGCUAGUUGGAAGGGUAAAGGCCUACCAAGGCGACGAUCAGUAGCCGGUCUGAGAGGAUGAACGGCCACAUUGGAACUGAGACACGGUCCAAACUCCUACGGGAGGCAGCAGUGGGGAAUAUUGCACAAUGGGGGGAACCCUGAUGCAGCGACGCCUCGUGAGCGAAGAAGGUUUUCGAAUCGUAAAGCUCUGUCCUAUGAGAAGAUAAUGACGGUAUCAUAGGAGGAAGCCCCGGCUAAAUACGUGCCAGCAGCCGCGGUAAUACGUAUGGGGCGAGCGUUGUCCGGAAUUAUUGGGCGUAAAGGGUACGUAGGCGGUUUUUUAAGUCAGGUGUGAAAGCGUGAGGCUUAACCUCAUUAAGCACUUGAAACUGGAAGACUUGAGUGAAGGAGAGGAAAGUGGAAUUCCUAGUGUAGCGGUGAAAUGCGUAGAUUUUAGGAGGAAUACCGGUGGCGAAUGCGACUUUCUGGACUUUUACUGACGCUCAGGUGCGAAAGCGUGGGGGAGCAAACAGG
rnacentral:rRNA from 1 species